rnacentral:rRNA from 1 species
CACGCAGACGGUUUUUUAAGUCAGAUGUGAAAGGUACCGGCUCAACCGGUGACAUGCAUUUUGAAACUGAAAGACUUGAGUAUUGGAGAGGCAAGUGGAAUUCCUAGUGUAGCGGUGAAAUGCGUAGAUAUUAGGAGGAACACCGGUGGCGAAGGCGGCUUGCUGGACAAAUACUGACGCUGAGGUGCGAAAGCGUGGGGAGCAAACA